rnacentral:lncRNA from 1 species
UGCAUCUAUGUUCAUCAGUGAUAUUGGCUUGUAAUUUUCUUUUUUUUGUAUUGUUUGGGGAUCAGGGUGAUGUUGGCUUCAUAGAAUGUGUUAGGGAGUUCUCCAUCUUUCUCAAUUUUCUGGAACAGUUUGAGGAGAAUAGGUAUUAAGUCUUCUUUGAAUGUUUGGUAGAAUUCUCCAGAGAAGCCGUCUGGUCCUGGACUCUUAUUUUUGGGGAGGUUUUUGAUUACCGUUUCUAUUUCCUUACUUGUGAUUGGUCUAUUCAGAUUCUCCAUUUCUUCCUGAUUCAGUUUGGGGAGAUUGUAGGAGUCUAGGAAUUUGUCCAUUUCUUCCAGGUUGUUCAAUUUGUUGGCAUAUAGUUUUUCAUAGUAUUCUCUUAUGAUCUCUUGUAUUUCAUUGGUAUCUGUUGUGAUUUCUCCUCUGUCAUUCCUAAUUUUAUUAAUUUGCGAUUUCUCUCUUCUUUUCUUGGUGAGUCUGGCUAGGGGUUUGUCAAUUUUGUUAAUUCUUUCGAAGAACCAACUCUUUGUUUCAUUGAUCCUUUCUAUUGUCUUUUUUGUUUCAAUAUCGUUUAUUUCUGCUCUUAUUUUUAUUAUUUCCCUCCUUCUACUGACUCUGGGCUUUGUUUGUUCUUCUUUUUCUAGUUCUGUUAGGUGUCGUUUGAGGUUGUUUAUGUAAGAUUUUUCUUGCUUAUCGAGGUGAGCCUGUAUUGCAAUGAAUUUCCCUCUUAGGACUGCCUUUGCUGUAUCCCAAAUCAUUUGGUACGGUGUGUUUUCAUUUUCAUUUGUCUCCAGAUAAUAUUUGAUUUCUUCUUUAAUUUCUUCAAUAA